rnacentral:rRNA from 1 species
AGCUCCAAUAGCGUAUAUUAAAGUUGCUGCAGUUAAAAAGCUCGUAGUUGCAUUUCCGAGGCAAGGGAUUAGUCCGACCUUUGGUGGGUAUUUAAUCCUCUUGCCUCGUCCUUGAGUGGUGCUUCUUGGUAUUAAGUUAUCGAGGAGAUAGCCGCUCAUCGUUUACUGUGAGAAAAUUAGAGUGUUCAAAGCAGGCUUAUGCCGUUGAAUAUAUUAGCAUGGAAUAAUAAGAUAGGUCCUCGGUUCUAUUUUGUUGGUUUGAGAACCAAGGUAAUGAUGAAUAGGGACAGUUGGGGGUAUUCGUAUUCAGUUGUCAGAGGUGAAAUUCUUAGAUUUACGGAAGACGAACUACUGCGAAAGCAUUUACCAAGGAUGUUUUCA